GAUGAACGCUGGCGGCGUGCUUAACACAUGCAAGUCGAGCGAGAAGUUUUGAAAAGAUUCUUCGGAUGAAAUUUAAAAUGGAAAGCGGCGGACGGGUGAGUAACGCGUAGGCAACCUGCCCCAUACAAAGGGAUAGCAUUUGGAAACGAAUAUUAAUACCUUAUGAAACUUAACUAGUGCAUGCUAGGUAGGUCAAAGAUUUAUCGGUAUGGGAUGGGCCUGCGUCUGAUUAGCUAGUUGGUGAGGUAACGGCUCACCAAGGCGACGAUCAGUAGCCGACCUGAGAGGGUGAACGGCCACAUUGGAACUGAGACACGGUCCAAACUCCUACGGGAGGCAGCAGUGGGGAAUAUUGCACAAUGGGGGAAACCCUGAUGCAGCAACGCCGCGUGAACGAUGAAGGCCUUUGGGUCGUAAAGUUCUGUUCUAGGUGAUGAAAACUGACAGUAACCUAGGAGAAAGCCCUGGCUAACUCCGUG
rnacentral:rRNA from 1 species